rnacentral:rRNA from 1 species
AUUGAACGCUGGCGGCAGGCCUAACACAUGCAAGUCGAACGAGUGGCGGACGGGUUAGUAAUGUCUGGGAAACUGCCUGAUGGUGGGGGAUAACUGCUGAGAACGGUAGCUAAUACCGCAUACCAUCAGAUGUGCCCAGACGGGAUUAGCUUGUUGGUGGGGUAACGGCGCAACAAGGCGGCGAUACCUAGCUGGUCUGAGAGGAUGACCUGAUACACUGGAACGGAGACACAGUUCAGAUUCCUACGGGAGGCAGCAGUGGGGAAUAUUGCACAAUGGGCGCAAUCCUGAUGCAGCCAUGCCGCGUGUAUGACGAAGGCCUUCGUGUUGUAAAGUACUUUCAGCGGGGAGGCGUUACCCGCAGAAGAAGCACCGGCUAACGCCGUGCCAGCCGCCGCGGUAAUUC